rnacentral:rRNA from 1 species
CCUACGGGGGGCUGCAGUGGGGAAUAUUGCACAAUGGGCGCAAGCCUGAUGCAGCCAUGCCGCGUGUGUGAAGAAGGCCUUCGGGUUGUAAAGCACUUUCAGCGGGGAGGAAGGCGGUGAGGUUAAUAACCUCAUCGAUUGACGUUACCCGCAGAAGAAGCACCGGCUAACUCCGUGCCAGCAGCCGCGGUAAUACGGAGGGUGCAAGCGUUAAUCGGAAUUACUGGGCGUAAAGCGCACGCAGGCGGUCUGUCAAGUCGGAUAUGAAAUCCCCGGGCUCAACCUGGGAACUGCAUUCGAAACUGGCAGGCUAGAGUCUUGUAGAGGGGGGUAGAAUUCCAGGUGUAGCGGUGAAAUGCGUAGAGAUCUGGAGGAAUACCGGUGGCGAAGGCGGCCCCCUGGACAAAGACUGACGCUCAGGUGCGAAAGCGUGGGGAGCAAACAGGAUUAGAUACCCGAGUAGUC